rnacentral:rRNA from 1 species
UACGAAGGGGGCUAGCGUUGUUCGGAAUUACUGGGCGUAAAGGGCGCGUAGGCGGUCGUGACAAGUCACUUGUGAAAUCUCCGGGCUUAACCCGGAGCGGCCAAGUGAUACUGUUGUGCUAGAGUGCGGAAGGGGCUACUGGAAUUCUCGGUGUAGCGGUGAAAUGCGUAGAUAUCGAGAGGAACACCUGCGGCGAAGGCGGGUAGCUGGGCCGACACUGACGCUGAGGCGCGAAAGCCAGGGAGCGAACGGG